UACGGGGGGGGCAAGCGUUGUUCGGAAUUACUGGGCGUAAAGGGCUGGUAGGCGGCCAACUAAGUCGGAUGUGAAAUCCCCAGGCUUAACCUGGGAACUGCAUCCGAUACUGGUCGGCUUGAAUCCGGGAGAGGGAUGCAGAAUUCCAGGUGUAGCGGUGAAAUGCGUAGAUAUCUGGAGGAAUACCGGUGGCGAAGGCGGCAUCCUGGACCGGCAUUGACGCUGAACAGCGAAAGCUGGGAGCAAACGGG
rnacentral:rRNA from 1 species